rnacentral:lncRNA from 1 species
UUAAAACCCUAAUGUUGACUGCAUGGAUAAGCUCAGUUUAGGGUUUAAAACCCUAAUGCUGACUGAAAGGAAAAAAGUUCAGUUUAGGGUUUAAAACCCUAAUGCUGACUGAAAGGAAAAAAGUUCAGUUUAGGGUUUAAAACCCUAAUGCUGACUAAAAGAAAAAUUCAGUUUAGGGUUUAAAACCCUAAUGCUGACUGAAAUGAAAAGUUCAGUUUAGGGUUUAAAACCCUAAUGCUGACAGAAGGAAAAGUUCAGUUUAGGGUUUAAAACCCUAAUGCUGACUAAAGGAAAAAUUCAGUUUAGGGUUUAAAACCCUAAUGCUGAUUGCAUGGAAAAACUCAGUUUAAGGUUUAAAACCCUAAUGCUGGCUGAAUGGAAAAAAGUUCAGUUUAGGGUUUAAAACCCUAAUGCUGACUGAAAGGAAAAAGUUCAGUUUAGGGUUUAAAACCCUAAUGCUGACUGAAAGGAAAAAUUCAGUUUAGGGUUUAAAACCCUAAUGCUGAUUGCAUGGAAAAGCUCAGUUUAGGGUUUAAAA